CCACUCUCACGGCUCUCACCUUCUCGAAACUAGAGUCACGCCCGACCAUCCCAACCACAAUCUUUCAUUACUUAAACUACCCUUGUAACUUUCCUCAUAUUCCACCUCCCAUAUGCCCAUAGAGCCGCAUGACAUAAGGGCAUAAAAGUCAAUUCAACUUCAACCGCAUCAAAAUACCGCUCGUUUCUUUCCUGACAUUAGCCCCC
rnacentral:lncRNA from 1 species